rnacentral:rRNA from 1 species
UACGGAGGGUGCAAGCGUUGCUCGGAAUCAUUGGGCGUAAAGCGCGUGUAGGCGGGACAGUAUGUCGGGUGUGAAAGCCCAGGGCUCAACCCUGGAAGUGCGCCCGAAACUGCUGUUCUUGAGGUCGGGAGGGGGUCGUGGAAUUCCCGGUGUAGCGGUGAAAUGCGUAGAUAUCAGGAGGAACACCGAUGGCGAAGGCAGGUCUCUGGGCUGAAACUGACGCUCAUGCACGAAAGCGUGGGGAGCAAACAGG